GGGAGGAGGAGCUGGAGCGGGUGGGGGAGGGAGCCGUGGCCUUAAGAAAGGAGAGGAAUGCGGACCCCUCCCCCCGGGGCUGGAGAGGCCAGGCCUGAAAAGGAAUAAAGAGACAUGGUCCUGAGAGAGGAGGAGAGGGAAGGGUGUGGAGACCCCCAGUCCCAAGGAGAAAAAAGGGAGAGGGGGAUGGAGAUUUCAGACCCAGGGAACAGAUGGGGCUGAGGUAGAGACCCCAACCUUAGAGAGGGGAGGAGAUGAAGUCACCAGCCUCAGAGGAAAAGACAGGACACUCCCUCCUCCCGUAUCUGUGAGAAAGAGAGGGACAGCCAGCCCUAUGGAGAGGGAGAGGCAUAGGAGCCCCAGGACUCCCUCCCCUCACCUUCCGGGAAGGUCCCUUCUUCCUCCUUUGUUCUUUGAGGCUGAAGGACCUAAACUCCCAGCUGGGCCCCCAGCCGGUAUUUGUCUACAGGAGCAAUGGAGACAGAGCCGAAGCAAAAUUGAUGGGGAUGUGUCUUUGGUAGACAAGGUUGGAGGAGAGUGAAUAGAAGCCCCCAGAGGUGGUGCCUGUCAGAGCUGUGAGGAGCCUUCAAAAACCACCCAUCCACACCCCUCACUUUAUAAAGGAGAGAAUCCAAGUACAGAGAGCCCUGCCAGAUCCCGCAGGUCAGGCUUGACUUGCUUCUAGCUGAAAAGAGGUGCACCCAGGAAGCAGCCCCUCUGGAGGCUCAAGAGACUACUUCUGGGAGAGUGGGUGUGAACGUGCGCGUUGGGAGCCUGCCUGCCCUCACUCCAUCCCACUCCCAGGAAAGAUCCUCAGGCCUGCGGUUUUCUUUCUGGUCUGUUUUAUACAGAAGUGUCUACCUCAAGGGCUGACGAGCCUUUAUUGGGAACCAAGCAUUUUGGCCAUACAGUAGGGAUUAAGAAGCUGCCGGGGAUAGCUCCCACUCCCAUCUUUUCCCCUUCGCCUCUCCAAACCAUGGUCAGGAAGUCAGACUUGCCCUGGCCCUGGCCUGCUCUGGUUUGAAGCAUCAAAAGUUAGUGUUCGUUAUGUGUCAGGGGAAACCUGGAAAAAUCAUUCCCUCUGGUUACUGCUUUCCACAGUUCUGUCCUCUAACAACCUCAGUUGGGGGAUUUCAGAGACCAGUUAAGGCCUGGGGUAUCCCCUCACACUAAGGGUUUUCUGAUGUCAGUCUUUGUGUUCAUGAAUGGGAGGCGUGGCCUCUAUGGGAGGAAGGGAGGGAGACGAGGAAGGAUGAUUUAUACACUUAGGGCUUGUGCGGGGCUAAUCGCCUGGACUGCCUGGAGAAAGCGAAGCUAGUACCCCCUUUCUCCAACAGUCCUUAGUUUCCAGGCCCUUCCAGGGCCUGAAGGUCAGAUCUGCCACGUAUGGUUGCACAGGUCAUUCACUGCGCAAGAGUAUCCAACCGAUGGAGCAAGCGGGUGCUAAAAUACAGCCGGCACACUGCUUGCUAGCCUGUGUGUCACGGUACAAGCCAGUGUCCAACCAGAAGAUGACUUCUUUCAAGUGUUCCCAAGGGUUACUAUGAGCUAGCAGUGGCCCUUCAAAGGCCAUGCUGCCAGGGCAUAAAUCCUCCCUCUCCCUGCUCCCCUUCCCUGAAGUAUAAUAGGGAUAAGAGCUUGCUCAUUUCCAGGCUGUGGUGUGGUGGACAGAAGGGCACGAAGAACUUCAACUAACAGAAGUCAGAGCCACGGGUUUUCACUUUUAGGAAAUGUGAAUAUCAGUGCUCUUGUGUGUGUGUGUGUGUGUGUCAAGGACUAAACUGUAGAAUAACAGGGAGAUGUGUUAAUAGUAUGGUUUAUAAAUAAUAAUAAGUAAUCCUCAUGAAUCCCUUGCUCUAUGUCAGGCUCUAUUCUAAGUGUUUUAAAUGCAAUGCGUUCCAUUUAAUCCCAGAAGCUGCCUUUUGAAGUGCAUAUAUGACUAUCACCCUGUACAGAUGAGCAAACUACAGUUUAGAGAAGUUCAGUAACUGACCCAAGAUUAUCCAGUUUGUCAGCGGCAGGAUUCAACUCCAGAUUGUUUCCACUGCCUACAAUCUUAGCCAUUAUACUAUACUGCAUCCUAACAGAGAAAAGAGGAGAGAAAGUGUAAAACAGAGUUUGGCCCUCUAUCUAAAUUAUACCAGUAUUCCUUAAACUUAUCUGACUCCAAAGCCCUUUUUUUAAUCCAAACAUUUAUUAACAUCUCCAGGAACUACUAUUCCACAGGACACAGUUUGGGAAACUUGUGAUAUACUAAUUACUGCUAUUUGUGUAAAAUGCUUACUG
rnacentral:lncRNA from 10 species